GAACGGCAUCACGAGGGUUACACUGUCUCCCACCUCUAAUCAGUUAAACUGAUCCCCCCGUGAAGAAGCGGGGAUAUAAAUAUAAGACGAGAAGACCCCAUGGAGCUUUAAACCCAGCACCAAUUAUCUAUAGUCAUACCAUAAAAGCCCGAUAAUACUGGCUGCCGGUUUUAGGUUGGGGUGACCACGGAGUACAACACAACCUCCAUGAUGAAAGGCUCUCCCUUUAAUCCAAGAGUUACAACUCUAAGAAUCAAAAACUGACAUACAUUGACCCAAAUAUUUUGAUCAACGAACCAAGUUACCCUGGGGAUAACAGCGCAAUCCAUUUCAAGAGCUCCUAUCGACAAAUGG
rnacentral:rRNA from 1 species